UUUAAGGCUGGUGAGUGAGUUAAUCAGGAUCACUGGUUCUUCACUGAAUCUUUGCCCAGGAUGACUGCUGGAAAUACUUAAGACUGAUCUAGGGAGAAGGACUGGGACCCAGGCUGUGAAAAGUCAGCCUGUGAUGGGUGUACUUGGAGAUUUAAGCUGCAAGUGAUGCAGUUUACCUUCAAGAAACUCUGCAACCUUCAUAAAACAACAUUUAGGGACCCCAGAGCUUCUUUAGCCUAAUCCCAAGAGAUGUCUUGACCAGAUUGGGCCAAAGCCAGGGACCUGGGUGACAUUCCAGAGGAACCCUCUACUAGUGUCAGCUGAAUCUCAACCACAAUCUGAGACAAAAUGGGAUUGAGCAGUAACAACUGCAACACAAGAGCUCCAGUCCAUCUCACCUAAUACCAGAAACCCUGAUUUAAUACUUUACAUUUCUAAUGCUUGAACCACUUUUCUUUUCUGUGUCUUUAAUAAAAGGAUUUUAACAGUG